AUAGUUUAAUUCUAGCUAUCAAUUUAGUACUUUCUUAGGUCUAUAUGCUUAUUUUGUAAAAAUAAUUUAUGUGUAGUAUGAAUAUAUAAUGUACUAUAUGGCAGUAGGUAAAUUUAUUUAUGUGUAAUUACAUGAAAUUGUGGAGGAAUUUAAAUUUGGCCAAUAUUGUGCCAGCCGCAGCGGUUAGACAAUAGAAAUCUAAAUAUAAAAAUUUUAUAAUGAUAAUUUAAACAAUAAGUAAGGUAAAAUUUAGUAUUAAUGAAUUGAUGUUAUCAUAAUAAAGAUCUAAAUUAAAACAAGGAUUAGAUACCCUUUUAUUUUUAUUCAAUAUAUAAAUUGGGGACUACGAGCUUUAGCUUAAAAACCAAAGAAUAUGGCGGUAUUUUAUUCAAUCAGGGUGGCAUGUAUUUUAAUUUGAUAGUCCACGUUUUUUAGUCCUAAUCUUGAAAGACAGUAUGUGUACUGCCGUUAUACAUGAUUCUAUAGAAUAAUGUGAGAUAUAUAGCAUCAUAUAGAUAGUCAGGUCCAAGCGCAGCCAAUGAUUAGGUGAGAGUGUGCUACAUUUAUUUAAACGUUCUAAUUAUUUAGUUAAAUCUAGAUAUGAAGCAGAACUUGAUAGUAAUUAAAUUGAUUAAAUUUAAUGAAAUAGGUUAGAAAUAUGUACAAAUCGCCCGUCACUCCUUUAUAAAGGAUAAGUCGUAACAUAGUAGAUGUAAUGGAAAUUGUAUCUAU
rnacentral:rRNA from 1 species